rnacentral:tRNA from 1 species
UUAUAUAUAGUGUAUUGCACGUUAGAUUUUCAUUUUAAAAGAAUAUAAUAUAUU